rnacentral:misc_RNA from 1 species
GAUGAAGAACGUAGUGAAAUGCGAUACGUAAUGUGAAUUGCAAAUUCAGUGAAUCAUCGAGUCUUUGAACGCACAUUGCGCCCCCUGGUAUUCCGGGGGGCAUGCCUGUCCGAGCGUCAUUGCUGCCCUCAAGCACGGCUUGUGUGUUGGGCCCCGUCCUCCGAUUCCGGGGGACGGGCCCGAAAGGCAGCGGCGGCACCGCGUCCGGUCCUCGAGCGUAUGGGGCUUUGUCACCCGCUCUGUAGGCCCGGCCGGCGCUUGCCGAUCAACCCAAAUUUUUAUCCAGGUUGACCUCGGAUCAGGUAGGGAUACCCGCUGAACUUAAGCUUAUCAAUAAGCGGAGGA